UACGUAGGGCGCGAGCGUUUGUCCGGAUUUAUUGGGCGUAAAGAGCUCGUAGGCGGCUUGUCGCGUCGACUGUGAAAACCCGUGGCUCAACCAUGUGGUCUGCAGUCGAUACGGGCAGGCUAGAAUUCGGUAGGGGAGACUGGAAUUCCUGGUGUAGCGGUGAAAUGCGCAGAUAUCAGGAGGAACACCGGUGGCGAAGGCGGGUCUCUGGGCCGAUAUUGACGCUGGAGGAGCGAAAGCGUGGGGAGCGAACAGG
rnacentral:rRNA from 1 species